CCUACGGGUGGCAGCAGUGAGGAAUAUUGGUCAAUGGGCGAGAGCCUGAACCAGCCAAGUAGCGUGAAGGAUGACUGCCCUAUGGGUUGUAAACUUCUUUUAUAAAGGAAUAAAGUCGGGUAUGCAUACCCGUUUGCAUGUACUUUAUGAAUAAGGAUCGGCUAACUCCGUGCCAGCAGCCGCGGUAAUACGGAGGAUCCGAGCGUUAUCCGGAUUUAUUGUGUUUAAAGGGAGCGUAGAUGGAUGUUUAAGUCAGUUGUGAAAGUUUGCGGCUCAACCGUAAAAUUGCAGUUGAUACUGGAUAUCUUGAGUUUAGUUGAAGGAGGCGGCAUUCGUCGUGUAG
rnacentral:rRNA from 1 species